UCUGAAUCUGCGNACGGCUCCGCAAACCAGUUGUAAACUAUAGCAAGCAAGCUCGUGCCCUUCACCGGGUGCGGGCAACACGGAUAACCCUGGUAAUUCUGAGGCUAAUACGAGAUCGUACUCCCUGGCUGACCGGGCAACCGGAAGGCUGGGAGGUGUGUGAUUUAGCACGAGGAAUCUGCUGGGAAUAGACACAUGCCUGGACCGCGCCAAAAACAGAUGGGGCUUCUCGCAAGGGUCGUCCUGCCUGAGCGGCUCUUGCUUUGUGCUUCUGACCUAUCAACUAGAUGGCAGCGUAACGGACAUGCUAUGGUGACAACGGGUACAG
rnacentral:rRNA from 1 species